rnacentral:tRNA from 1 species
GGAGUUGUGGCUCUGUGGUAGAGUGCUUGCCUAGCAUGCGUGAGGCACUGAGUUCGAUUCUCAGCACCA